rnacentral:misc_RNA from 1 species
AACAUCGCGCACCUGCGGGAACCUGCGGAGGGAUCAUUACAGAGUUGCAAAACUCCCUAAACCAUUGUGAACGUUACCUAAACCGUUGCUUCGGCGGGCGGCCCGGGUCCUUCCUGGCGCCCAUCGGCCCUCGCGGGCGCCCGCCGGAGGUAAACCAAACUAUUGCAUUGUAUGGCCUCUCUGAGUCUUCUGUACUGAAUAAGUCAAAACUUUUAACAAUGGAUCUCAGAUCGGAAGAGC